CACAGAGUGGGCCUGUUGUUCUCAUUUGAGACUGAGUCCAUUCUUUCCUCUUCCAUGAAGACUUUUCCCCAACAGUUAAAUAUUUCAGUUUCACCUGUUGUUGUUUCACAGCUCAACAUGAAACAUCAGAUAUCCCUCUUUGUCCCCCUGAGGAUAUUAGCUAGGUAGAUUCUUAACAUGUCCUGCUCCAAUUCUAAUAUUAGCUCUGCUGCCCUGGCGGCAGCUUCUCUCCUGUUGCAGUGUUUCCCUGCAACGGUGCCGGCUUUCCUUGGAGUUUGGUGACGAUUGAUAUGGAUGUGGCUUUGUGGUUGGCUGCCUGCCCAGCUCCCAGGGGCGAGGGGCUCCUCCUGCCCCAGCCCUGCCUGUCAGUGCCCCCGCCUGUGGCCCCACCGACCGUCCCAUCCACCCCAUCUGUCCACAUGGAGUUCACACGUGUCUGAGCCCUUCUUGUUCUUCAGGAACCUAAAGUGGAAGUUCGGAUAAUUAAUUCAAGACUCCAUGAAGUGUACAGGCGAAGAUCAUCUCUUUCCGGCCCUGCUGCGGACACUAGUGCAGUGAGCAGAUGCCUUCUCAGUUCCGCAGCCGCCCUCUGAGCCGUCUGAUUCCUCCACGUGGACCUGGGUUUCCACACAAGCAACGAGGAAGGCAGAGCCACACACACUGCGGAUAAAAAGAUCACACAGGACCCUCACCCUUUGAGACGCCGUCUGCCCAGACACACUGCUUGCUAGAUAUGAGGAGCUGUGGGUCCCCAGAGAUCACACAAGAUCCUCACCCUCUCAGAUGCCGUACACCCGGACGCACUGCCUGUUGGAUGUGAGCAGCUGCGGGUCCCCAGAAAUCACAAGGGACCCUCACCUGCGAGUUCAGAGAUCACACAGGACCCUCACCCUCUGAGAUGCCGUCCACCUGGACGCACUGCUUGGUGGAUGUGAGCAGCUGUGGGUCCCCAGAGAUCAUACAGGAUCCUCACCUGCGGGUCCCCAGAGAUCACACAGGAUCCUCACCCGCGGGUCCCCAGACAUCAUGCAGGACCCUCACCCUCUGAGAUGCCAUCCGCCUGGACGCACUGCUCGCUGGAUAUGAGGAGCUGUGGGUCCCCAGAGGUCACACAGGAUCCUCACCUGUGGGUCCCCAGAGAUCAUGGGGGAUCCUCACCCUCUGAGACGCCAUCUGCCCGGACACACUGCUUGGUGGAUGUGAGCCUGCGGGUUCCUGGUUUCUGCCCAGCUGACAUGUGGUGGUUCUCAGCGAGGCUGCUCGGGCGCUGUAGGCUGGGUGCCCCAUCCUCCAGCGGCUGUCAUGUGGCCAUGGGUGGGUCACAGCCACGCGUGUUCCCAGUGUGAUGAGCCGAUGGGUGGGCUGCUCUCUGCCCACACCCGGCUGGCCCAGGCCGUUGUCUUGCCCUGAGGACUGGCCCUGUGGUGUCCUGAGUGGCAGGGCCAAGGGCUCUGCUUCUUCCUGUGCUGAGGUGGUCACCCCGUGACAGGUUCUGUCUGCAGCGCACACCCUCCAGGAGGCACCUGCCCCCCAGCCCCUGCCUCAGGCCCCGCUUCCUGGAGCCCAGCCUAAGACAUCGGUGGCCAGGACGGCAAGGACCUGAGACACAGUGCCAGCCACAGCAGCACUCCUGCCUGAGUGGGGUCUGGAUGUUCCGGGAGGGCCCUUGUCUCAGACUCCCCCAGACCUUUCUCGACAAAUGAAGCUUCAACCUCUGGUUUGCCAGGUGAUGGUUAGGCAGCCUGGUCUCACAGCUGCUGGACUCCCUGGAUCACUGUGGCCUCAGUGUGGACAGUGGAGCCUCACGACCCUCUCUGUUUUUCUUUGCUUUUGUCAGGUGUGGGUGUGAGAUGGCCCAGACUUGGGCCACAGCCACAAGCUUCUGUGACUCACGCAACUCAAGAGCACUGUAGUGGGGUCUCACCGCAGAAGCCAUCUGGGAAUGCUCUUGACUUGGGGUGUGUGCGUGUUUUCCCAUUUUGAAGAAUAAGGUCAAUUUUAAAAUUUUCUGACACUUUCUCGCUUUGCCAAUUUUUGAUGGCAAAAUUUUAGUCUCCAGCCUCUCCUUUCUACUUCAGAAGCUUGUGUGUUGCUUGUCUCAGCUGUUAGUGGAUAUGGGUUCUGAAAAUGGUAAUUAAUUUUAACAAUAGCUUAAGUAAGCCAGACAUUAAUCAUAAUUGGCAAAGGAAAUAUGCUGUAAAGUAUUAUAUAAUCUAAGAUAAAACAGGAGCAAUUUUUGCAUAAUUUGUUAUUUUGUACUGCCUGUGUUAUCAUUAGCACAGUGAUUAAGAAUUAACUGAAAUUACUCAAAUUACCAGAAAUAAUUCAAUUAUCGAUAAUUGUAUAUCGAUGUAUAAUAACAUAUACAACCAAACACUUAGGUGAUUUGCUCAGGAUACAUUUCACAACUUGUUUUUCCAUCAAAAUAUUUUUGACUCACAGUUGAAUUCUCAGUACUUCCAUCAAUUAAAUGGAAAAGCAAAUUAAUUGUAGUGUGGGAAUCUCUGGGAGUAUUUCUUGCUUUUUCUCUUUUACUAAUGUACUUGUUCUUCAGUAAAUAGAUUGGAUAGUUUGUUACUUCCAGAGGAAGACAGUAACCACCAAUAGACAGGAAAAUGUACCUCUGGUUUACCAAACUUAGUCAUAGUCACAUUACAGAGUUAAUUCUAUAAUGUUGUGAAAAACACCUGUGUCACAAAAAUGUUAAUGAUCUCUUGACUGCAUAGAUGAGUUGCGUUCCGGAGUCUUAAGUUGCUUUCUAAAUACUAAUUAAUUAAACCCAAGCUUUCUGUGUCAGGCGAUUACUCACUUUUGUCCUUUCCUUAGUCUACCCAAGCUGAAUUUCUGAUAAUAUGGUAAGACAAGAAUGAAACAUAACCCAAAACAUAAGCUUCCAGCCACGGUUCUGUGUGGAAAUUGCAGCUUAGGAAGAUUUUGUCACAAUGAGAUGGUAACCCCUGCUUCCCCCGGCCAUACAGAGGAUUGAAGAUGUAAGUACCUGGGGGACGCCAGCCACAGUGUUUUACCACCUACUCUUCCAGUAGCUUUGGAAAAGGAAAAAAAAAAGUCACAGAAUUGGGGCACACAGGGGAGAGUGCAGCAUGAACAAUUUUCCAUUAAUCUGAUAAAGAGGGAGGUAGUCUAGGUGCAGCUCUGAGAUGCAUUUCUGCAGGGGAGCCACUCCCUGAGAGCUUUGUGUUUCCUUCCUGUUAGCGAUCUCAUG
rnacentral:lncRNA from 10 species